GAGAGAGAGAGGAAGAGGGACAGAGUGAAUGAGAAGACAGAGAGAGGUGGAGGGAGAGAGAGAGGAAGAGGGACAGAGUGAAUGAGAAGACAGAGAGAGGUGGAGGGAGAGAGAGAGGAAGAGGGACAGAGUGAAUGAGGAGACAGAGAGAGAGGGAGGGAGAGAGAGAGGAAGAGGGACGGAGUGAAUGAGAAGGAGACAGAGGGAGGGAGAGAGAGAGGAAGAGGGACGGAGUGAAUGAGGAGACAGAGAGAGGGAGCGGGAGGAGAGAGAGAAAGAGGGACAGAGUGAAUGAGAAGGAGUCAGAGAGAGGUAGAGGGAGGGAGAGAGAGGAAGAUGGACAGAGUGAAUGAGAGGGAGACAGAGAGAGGGAGUGGGAGGAGAGAGAGGAAGAUAGACAGAGUGAAUGAGAGGGAGACAGAGAGAGGGAGUGGGAGGGAGAGAGAGAGAGAAAGAUGGACAAAGUGAAUGUGAAGGAGACAGAGAGAGGUAGAGGGAGGGAGGGAGAGAGAGAGAGAAAGAUGGACAGAGUGAAUGAGAAGGAGACAGAGAGAGGGAGCGGGAGGGAGGGAGAGAGAGAGAGAAAGAUGGACAAAGUGAAUGUGAAGGAGACAGAGAGGGGUAGAGGGAGGGAGAGAGAGAGAGAAAGAUGGACAGAGUGA
ensembl:lncRNA